GAGGGUGUAGCUCAAGUGGUAGAGUGCAUGCUUAGUAUGCACGAGGUCCUGGGUUCAAUUCCCUGCACCUCCU
rnacentral:tRNA from 1 species